rnacentral:rRNA from 1 species
CGGAGAGUUUGAUCCUGGCUCAGAGCGAACGCUGGCGGCAGGCUUAACACAUGCAAGUCGAGCGGGCGUAGCAAUACGUCAGCGGCAGACGGGUGAGUAACGCGUGGGAACAUACCUUUUGGUUCGGAACAACACAGGGAAACUUGUGCUAAUACCGGAUAAGCCCUUACGGGGAAAGAUUUAUCGCCGAAAGAUUGGCCCGCGUCUGAUUAGCUAGUUGGUGAGGUAACGGCUCACCAAGGCGACGAUCAGUAGCUGGUCUGAGAGGAUGAUCAGCCACAUUGGGACUGAGACACGGCCCAAACUCCUACGGGAGGCAGCAGUGGGGAAUAUUGGACAAUGGGCGCAAGCCUGAUCCAGCCAUGCCGCGUGAGUGAUGAAGGCCCUAGGGUUGUAAAGCUCUUUUGUGCGGGAAGAUAAUGACGGUACCGCAAGAAUAAGCCCCGGCUAACUUCGUGCCAGCAGCCGCGGUAAUACGAAGGGGGCUAGCGUUGCUCGGAAUCACUGGGCGUAAAGGGUGCGUAGGCGGGUCUUUAAGUCAGGGGUGAAAUCCUGGAGCUCAACUCCAGAACUGCCUUUGAUACUGAAGAUCUUGAGUUCGGGAGAGGUGAGUGGAACUGCGAGUGUAGAGGUGAAAUUCGUAGAUAUUCGCAAGAACACCAGUGGCGAAGGCGGCUCACUGGCCCGAUACUGACGCUGAGGCACGA